CUGAAACUUAACUGCAAGGGUCUACAGUACCACUUCUCUCUGCAAAAACAAACACAACAUAAAUCCAAUGAAACCUCUAGGUGCAAAAAUUUUAAACCUCUGCCCCGCCCCCGCCUAACAAGUGGGAAGAGACCCAGCAUUCAGAGCACAGGCCAAGUGCUGGCUGCACGGGAGUCACCUGGUCGUCGUGAAGAGGCUGAGAGUGGAGCAAGCAAUCCAGAGCCCGGGGCCGCCUAGGCAGGGCGCCCGCCUCUCUCUCUGCAAACCUCAGCGGCUCAGUUAUUACCCGUCCUAGCCAUCCCUUCCCAGGUGCCUGGGCAGGAAGGACAGCCGCCUCCACUGCCAGCUCAGGACCAGAGCUGGAUGAAAGAUCCGGUUGGCCCUCAGGGUUUAUCCCGGGUGCAGAAGAGCCCAGCUCCUUUGGCCCAGCAUGACCCAGGUGCCAAACCACCCCUGCGGCUCCACCUCCUGCCACCUCCUGCUUUCCAUGGCAGCCUCUGUUUCUCCACGUUGAGCUCCCUGUCGGCUUUGAGCCUGCUCUCUCCUUCCCCGUUCUUGGAAGCUGUUUCCUUGCCUGACAGUCCCCACAUGUUCUUAGUCACAUCCUCAUGCCCCGCCCACGGCUUCGAUGAAAAUCAAAGGCCCCGGAUUGUGAACGCCUAAAGGUCCUCCUGUCACCCUGACGGCCUCCCAUCCUCGCCCAGCAACUCCCAGACUACAGCAAGGACCAGGACAGGCAAGCGAGGCUGCCCACUCCUGGCGUCCCUGUCAGAGUGGGGACAUUCCUGGGUCAGCCACGCUGGAGUCAGAAAAAGCGGAGUGGGGCAACUGUAACCACGACACUUACAGGAGGGAGAGGAAGCUUCCGCACUGCUCUGUGGAACCUAACCUCAGUUUUGCCAGCCCCAGCCCUGGAGGUCAGGAAUUUCUGUUGUUUCCAAGCCACUCGGACCCCAGUCUUCUGGACAAUGCCAGGGUAGACUAAGACCUCUCCCAUUUAUGACAGUUUCAGGACUCGGAAAUACUGUCAAAAAUAUUUCACAGGUCUCAAAGACGGCUGGCUGAUGCCCGACCACCCUCAUCUCCGGCACAGAGGACCCUGUUGACUGUCUAGCCACCAGCGUGGGGCUGCAGCCUCAUUGCCCGAGUCUGGCCCAGCACCAACCCCAAUCACCCCUCGUUGAGGAGAGAGGUGGCCUCAGAGGAGAGGAACGUCACUUUCGGGAACCCAGAGGGCUCACCAAGGCGGGCAUUAGGCCUCAGUCUUCCCAGCCGGUCGCCCCCAGUGGGGCCCUUCAACCUCCCACACCAUGAGCUGUCCCACAGCCCACAGCCAUCAGAUCCCCAUGCCGCAGACCCUGGCUGGAACCAGCCAGAGCCGCAUCCCCCAACACACAGCCGAGUUCAGGGGAACCUGUGCUGCGGAGGCACCGUGUGAAAGCCAGAGACCCCUGGGCCACAGAUGGGCAGAUCCAGUGUGAGCGCACAAGCAGCAGGGCAAGUGAAGCAACACCAAGACUCCAAACGAAGGCAGUGUGUCCCUCAGUACUGGUCCCAGAGAUGACAGAGAGCUCGGGGAGCGUCCCAGGGCUCUCGGAAUGAGGAGCUCAGGAAGACAAAUACAAAGUGCAGCUCAGACCCUCAGCAACAGACUGCAAAACCAGAGGGAAGGGUAUCUGCACUUCAGUGUGAGUCUUUUGAAAUAUUCCGCUUGGAAGGAACGGACGGAGGGGAGAGAAAAGGAAGAAAGACAGACAAAGAGAAAGAAACAAAGAUGCACAACCUUAGAGACUUUGGGGACACCAUUAAAUGCAAACAAGUCACAUUUUUGAGUGCCUCAAAGAGAAAAAAAGGAAUAGAAAAAUCUAUUCAGUAAGAUAUUUGAAAACUUCCUUUCCUGGGGGAAAAGAUGGAUAUCCAGAGGUAGGAGGGCUCUGGGACCCAAACAGAUGUGCUGGGAAUGGGCCUCACCCCAACGUAAACCAUCAAAACCAUAAGAGAAGGAGGAUCCCACAAACAAAAGGAGAAGGACACCAAGUCAUACUUCAGGAAGUGCCAUUAGACCAACAGCAGUUUUCUCAACAGAAACCUUAUAAGCCAGGAGAGAAUGGAGAGACAGAUUUUAAAUCCCAAAGAAAAUAACAGUCAGCCAAGAGUAUGUACCCAUGAAGGCUCUCCUUCAGAAAUGAAGCCCAAAGGAAGACUUCUCAAGCUAAGCAAGCAGAGGGAAUUCCUCACAGCCAAGUCAGACUCUUGAGGGGCCCUGCACCCUGAAGCCCAAGAACAGGGACCGCCAUCAGGAGAACAUGCCACUAGGGGCACAGACGGGCAGCGGGAGUGAAGGGGAAGCUGCCCCAUCUCAGAGAAGAUGCGGAGGAAGUAAAGCUCAAACAGGAAAUUGGACACAGUGAUGACAGCGAGCCCUCAUCUCCCCAUAACACCUCAGAGGCAGGCAGACAAAGUCCAUCAGCGACAGCACAGACUGGCUAAGCCCAGGCCGGCUGCCUGCCAGGGACUCGCCUCACCGUGAGGAUGCCACAGACCCAAGGGAACAGAUGCUGAAGGUGAGCCUUGGAAGUGGGCCCCACACAAGCAAGAGCAGCCGUUCAUUCCUGCAUCCAAUGGAAGAAAGACAGAGGCUGCAGGGCUGGUGAUGAUGAAAGGGCAGCAGGGCACCCACAUGCCGUGUGCACUUAAGGAGGGACAAAAGCCUACAAAGACACAAAGGAGAUCAUUACAUAACUAUCAAGGUCAAUUCAACAAAAUAACCAUCGUAAGUGUACACGCACCCAUUGCCAGAGCGCCCCAUUUCAUAAACCAACACUUAAAUCUAAAUGGGAGGCAGAACCAAAGAUGCUCCCUGCACCCUCACCACCCCGCCGGUCAUCUGGACAGGACACUGGCAUGGGGACAGCAGAUCCCGGGGAAGUGACGCUGACUGGAGACUCCCUCCCACUUCUGGAGAACUGGUGAGGCAUCCUCCAGAACCUUAGCCACCAGCAAGUGUCCAGCAAUAAUCCUCCGCGUUAGCCACCAGCAAGUCUGAACAAACUUUUUAAGAACCCAAAUCAUAUCGUGUAUCUUCUUUUCCACAGUGAAAUAAAACUAGAAGUUAACAACAACAGCCAGAGAAGAACAGAAAGGGGAUGAAGAAAAGGAGUAAGAUAUGCUCUGUGCAUGUCCCAACUCCACACAAGGAAUGCAAACAUUACAGACUACAAACGUGAACUAAUAAAAACUAACAAAGGAAACUACAAACUCAGGAAGACUUAACAUGCUACUGAAUGAACAAACUGAAUCAUGGAACAAAAAAGUCAGUUUAAAAAAAUGCAUGCAACAAAUGAAUAUAUAAACAAAACAUACUAAAACUUACGUGAUACAGCAAAAAAAAAAAGCAUCUCCCUAAGAAGGAAAUUUAUAACAAUAAACAUCUAGUGUGAAAAUACAGAACAGUGCAUCUCAAAGAUAUAUAAAUACCACACCCCAAAUUAGAUGGAAAGAAAUAAUAAAGAUCAGAAAAGGAAAAAAAUAAAAUAUACGGUAUUUGUCAUACUGUCUCUUUCUUCAUCACUAAUGUUAUUCACUUGGGGGUCUUCUGCCUUUUUUCUUGCCUACUCUAGCUAAAGGUUUGUCAAUUUAGUAAUCUUUUCAAAAGAGCAAUUCUUUGUUUCUUGGUCAUUUGUACUGUUUCUAGCCUCUUGCGAAUAUCGGUCUGUAAUUUUCAUGUUGUGCUCAUAGCUGGGUUUGGUAAAACAAUAAUGUGGGCCUUGAAUAAUGACUUUAGAAGGGUUUUGUCCCUUGCAAUAUUUUGGAAUAAUUGAGAAUUCCUCUCAGUAGCUCUGAUGAGUAUAGAUGUGGAAAUUCUCAAUAAAAUCAAAUUGAAUGCAAUAGCACAUCAAAAAGAUGAUUUACCAUGAUCAAGUAGAUUUAUCCUAGGAGUACAAGGGUGAUUCAAGAUAGGGGAAGCAAUAAAUGUAAUAUAUCACAUCAACAGAUUGGAUGAUGAAACCAAAUGAUCAUCUCAAUAGAUGUGGGAAAAGUUUGUGAAAAAACUAAACCUCCCUUUGUGACAAAAAUCCAGAACAAAGUAGGUUUCCAGCACACCUUGUUACUUGCUAUUGUUAACUGGUUCUGGAGGUGGG
ensembl:lncRNA